GACGAACGCUGGCGGCGUGCCUAAUACAUGCAAGUCGAGCGGACUUAAAAAGCUUGCUUUUUAAGUUAGCGGCGGACGGGUGAGUAACACGUGGGCAACCUGCCUGUAAGACUGGGAUAACUUCGGGAAACCGGAGCUAAUACCGGAUAAUCCUUUUCUACUCAUGUAGAAAAGCUGAAAGACGGUUUACGCUGUCACUUACAGAUGGGCCCGCGGCGCAUUAGCUAGUUGGUGAGGCAACGGCUCACCAAGGCGACGAUGCGUAGCCGACCUGAGAGGGUGAUCGGCCACACUGGGACUGAGACACGGCCCAGACUCCUACGGGAGGCAGCAGUAGGGAAUCUUCCGCAAUGGACGAAAGUCUGACGGAGCAACGCCGCGUGAGUGAUGAAGGUUUUCGGAUCGUAAAACUCUGUUGUCAGGGAAGAACAAGUACGAGAGUAACUGCUCGUACCUUGACGGUACCUAACCAGAAAGCCACGGCUAACUACGUG
rnacentral:rRNA from 1 species